UACAUGGGGUGCAAACGUUGCUCGGAAUUAUUGGGCGUAAAGAGCGUGUAGGCGGCUAGGUAGGUCCGUUGUGAAAACUCGAGGCUCAACCUCGAGACGCCGGUGGAAACCAUCUAGCUAGAGUCCGGAAGAGGAGAGUGGAAUUCCUGGUGUAGCGGUGAAAUGCGCAGAUAUCAGGAAGAACACCCGUGGCGAAGGCGGCUCUCUGGUACGUGACUGACGCUGAGACGCGAAAGCGUGGGGAGCGAACAGG
rnacentral:rRNA from 1 species